rnacentral:lncRNA from 1 species
GCUUCUUGGGCACCCGCGGCUAGCUUUACCCCUCUAGUAUGGCCAUGACCCUAUUAGCAGUGUGAAUUUACCGCAUCAGAAUUACGUCAUCACUAAGCCCCACCUCUGCGCCUGUCCUCCAGCUCUAUCAGCUUGACCAAUCUUAGCUUGAGGAGAACAUUUAGAACCAUGGUCGGGAUGCUUCCGGACCAAGGGCAACCUGUUCCUGACAGGGUCAGCAAAGCUGUGCUUCCUCCUCUGAUGGGUUUGUAAGCCUGGCAGAGAGAAGAAAGCGAGGAGAAGGAAUGCUGGUUCCUCUGCCAGCCAGCUCUGUUUAUGAAAUUCCUGAUUGUCUCCAGAAACGAGAGGAAAGCUAAGUGCUUGGUGGUUUCUCUGUGUAGCCCCGA